UCUUUGGGAUUUAAUAGAGCCGGU
rnacentral:miRNA from 1 species